CCUACGUGUGGCUGCAGUGAGGAAUAUUGGUCAAUGGACGAGAGUCUGAACCAGCCAAGUAGCGUGAAGGAUGACUGCCCUAUGAGUUGUAAACUUCUUUUAUAUGGGAAUAAACUGUUCCACGUGUGGGAUUUUGUAUGUACCAUAUGAAUAAGGAUCGGCUAACUCCGUGCCAGCAGCCGCGGUAAUACGGAGGAUCCGAGCGUUAUCCGGAUUUAUUGGGUUUAAAGGGAGCGUAGGCGGUGUGUUAAGUCAGUUGUGAAAUGUUGCGGCUCAACCGUAAAAUUGCAGUUGAAACUGGCAGGCUAGAGUAUAGUAGAGGUGGGCGGAAUUCGUGGUGUAGCGGUGAAAUGCUUAGAUAUCACGAAGAACUCCGAUUGCGAAGGCAGCUCACUGGGCUGCAACUGACACUGAGGCACGAAAGUGUGGGUAUCAAACAGGAUUAGAUACCCCUGUAGUC
rnacentral:rRNA from 1 species